AUGAUGCUGUUUAUCAGGGUUUUUGUACUGUGGCUCAGUGAGUUUGCAUCACUGUGGUACGCGUUCAGUGGAGGAACCAGACUGGAAGUUAACUUGGGUCGAAUCGUCCCCACCCUGACGGUGCUGCCCCCCUCCAUUGAGGAGCUGCAGCAGGGGAAGGCCACGUUCAUCUGUCUGGCCAACAAGGGCUCCCCCUCAGACUGGUCUCUGUCCUGGAAGGUGGGCGGCAGCAGAAGCAGCAGCAGCAGCUGGGAGGAGAGCAGGAGCCCCGGGGUGCUGCAGAGGGACAGCCACUACAGCUGGAGCAGCACCCUGAGGCUCCCUGCAGACACGUGGAGGAAGGUGGGCUCUGUGACCUGUGAGGCCACCCAGGGCUCCCAGACUCCACUGUCAAAGACUCUGAAGAGAGACCAGUGUUCCCAGUCCUGACCUGGCUCACUGGGACUCAGUGACUGGUUUCACUCUGCUGCACUGUCUCUCUCUCUCUUUGUCUUCAGAUCACUUUUUGAUGGCUUGCAGUAACGCUGAUAUCCUCUGUGUGUUGAAACA